UAGUUUAAGCAAUUAGUGGUUUUUGUUUUUUUUGGUUUAUGGGUUGAUUUUUGAGUAAGAGAAAGAUGCCUCUUCUUUCAGCAGCAAGAUCUAUACUUGUUAGCUUUGUUCUGGAGGCACAUAU